AUUAAAGUACAAGUACUCAAAGGAAUGGAUUUAAAAGCGUUAUAACGGCUAGUAAACCAAGUUCCUGGGGUGCAAUCUUCACCUCAUACCGCUCAUCCUUCAAUUCUUUCGAAUUCAUUGGAUCCUUUUCGGUGUUCGAGAAUCUCCCUUCUUCCACUCCGUGCGAGGCUGAGAGAUGGAAGCCGCGCAACAGCAAGAGCAGCAACAAUACCAUUCAUGGAAGCUGAAUGUCCGGGCCAAGGCUAAGAACUUGAAUUUCAAAUUGGUAGCCUCCAACUUCUUACCCAAUUGCAAGUAUUUCCCAUUUUCUCUCAGUCUCAAGUACUGCAGAUUCUUCAUCCAUCUGAAAUCUCAAACACAUACCUCUCCAAAUCGCAAGAAACCUAAAAUUUUCAAAUCAAAACUCCCUCGAUUUCUCCAGAGACUCCGUACUCGACAACGUUCCAAGAACAACAGAGUUAUCAGUUCCAAACCUAAGAACCUUAAGGCAACUAUUUCCCAGAGUUCAGUGGUGUUAGGAAACCUGACACUUUUCGUUCAGUCAAUCUAUCAGCAGGACAAAGAUGGAAUCUUUAUACUUGGUUCUAUUGUUUGUAUUUGCUUUGCUUGCUUAUUCAAAAAUUUCAUGGCAACAAAAGCUUGGACAUUCUUGGUUUUUGUAAUUGGUGCCCUAGUUUUUUGCUCAAAUGUGAUGCAUCUCAGAUUCAUAAGCCACUUUGAUCAUCACUAUCUGUCCGGAUUCUUGUGGAGGGCUUUCAAAAAUGCUGCCUCCUCUGCCUGUUUAUAUAUACUCUCUCAGGUGCUUACUACUAUAUCGAGACUAAUAUGACGUUUGUGCUCCUAGGGCGGAAUGGAACGGAAUUCAGAAGCAUUAAUGCUGUGGAACUGUCUAUUACUUUAAAACUAUCAUUUUGGGUCAAAGUAUAUUUUGAAUCUGAUUGUUCUAUUGAAAAUUUCAAGGUCAAAUUGUCCUCUUUAUUAGUAUAAUUUGUUCGCUACAAAGUCAAGUUAAAUGGUUUUACAUAAAUGUUACUCCUGCAUCAGACUCUAAAUUGUGAAACACUAGAGCACAUGGUGCAAAAAGUGCAUAAAUUAAGCAAAGAAUUUUUCUAGACUCAAGUAGACUCUCUGCUCAUUUCUGCUGUCACCUCUACCUUUAUUUAAGUCUCUUUAGUUUAAUUACAUGUUCUUUCCUAAGCAUGUUUAAAAAGUUAACUCCAACAGAUAUGAUCAUUUUGUCAAAGUGAAAAGGAGAUCAUUUGAAGAGCCAAAAAGAGAAGGAUUUUUGGUCACUACUCAAUAUGCACUGAACAGCUAGUAAAAUCAUUUAGCAUAAGCCCAUGAACAAAACGGUGCCCUGAAAAGAAAGAAAAAAACAUGACAAAUGGAGAAGUUUAAGUGAAACCUGAUCUUUUUGAAAAUGCUAUCGUUAGGGACCACAUAGAGCCAUUUCUUGAUAUUAAAUCAACAAGUUGUAAUCAGAAUUCCAAUGAAAGUGUGAAUCGGGCUUAUCCUGAAAAUCUUAGACAAAAAUCUGAAAGGCCAUAUUGUGAAACCAUUGGUCCUUAUGACAAAAAACAACUAGUCUUCCGGUUCCAAGUGGUGCUGCAGCUGAAGACUUAGAGAGUACUUAUAAAAUGGUCAAAUUAGGAUGAUUAUUUUUUGAAGUACCAUCUCAAGUUAGAUUAUUCCUCCAGUUUCAUUUCUUGAUAAGAAGAUCACUGGAACUGCAAUGUUUCUGGUUAGUGUCUACUUGUUUCGUGCUCUAAUUUUGUAAGAAACAAUGAAGAGAAGAAUGCACAAGAACAACAUGUUGUACUGGCUAAAAUUUUUCAAGAAAAUCAAUUGACACAGUGCACUUUGUAUUGAUUAAAUUCUACUGCAGCUAAAAUUGUGCCUACCCUGAAUACUGCAUGCCACUUAAAGUAGUAAAUGAAGAUGCAGGAAAUUGGAAUCCUUCUGAUCUACUAAAAUCUUUUAGAAGGACAAGAAUUUCCAUAAACAUUUUGGAUUAAAUGUAUUAAUUUGGUGCCACAACAAACAUUUAGUGAGGUACAAGGCUGAAUUACUAAACUAAUUCACAACAUCUUUCACCUACACCUAUCAGAUAUUCACGAAAGCAAAAUAUCCACAAAUCAGGCGACUGUUUGUAUCUUAGCUAUGUGGAGCAGCUGAAUUGUUCAGCACUUCAAGAUAGAUUUCUCUGAGAUAAAGUUGUGAUUAGAUAUGAAUUUAUUUUGAUAAAAUUGCUUGUUAAUAUUGAAGAUUUGCAAGUAGAAACUAGUAUUUUACUUGAAAUACACAGUCAAACCAGUAUUUCAAUGUUCAAACUUAAAAUUCUCGUACUGGAGUUCAGUAUUUACAGAUAUGCAGUUGCCGAAACUAGUGUUUGCAAAUGUAAAGGUUUACUGAUACUGAAAUAUUUGGUUGAAGUUGGAAAAUAUUGGGUCGACUAUAUGAAGUUAGGAGUUGAAAAUAUCCAGGGACCAGCUUCCGCUUUCCCCAGAAUUCUUGGUCAUGAAGCAGCUGGUGUGGUGGAGAGUGUAGAGGAAAAUGUGGAGGAAGUGAAAGAAGGGGACAUAGUGAUACCAGUAUUUCAAAGGAAUUGUGGAGAAUGUAGAGAUUGCAAGUACCCAAAGGGGAAUAUUUGUUCAAAAUUUCCAGAGGACUUUUACUGUGGGAUGCCAAGUGAUGGAAGCAGCCAAGGAUAAAAAUGGAGAAAAAUUGCACCAUACAUUGCCAGUAUCCAGCUUUUCUGAGUAUACACAGUUGUGGAUGUCACACAAGUUGUGUAGAUGAGUCCUGAUUUUCCCGUUGAUGAGGCUUAUUUACUUUCUCGUGGAGUUUCUACAGGAUUGGGAGCUGCAUGGAAAGUUGCAGAAGUUGAAGAAGGUUCAACUGUGGCAAUAUUUGGUCUUGGAGCCGUGGGCCUAGCGGUAACUCGUCGCACAAGGAGCUUACGUGGAGCUUCAAAAAUAAUAGGUGUCGAUUUAAAUCCAGAAAAAUCUGAAAUUGGGAAGAAGUUUGGACUAACAGAUUUUAUUAACCCUACAACCUGUCGCGAGAAAUCAAUUAGCCAGACAAUAAAAGAAAUGAGUGAUGGUGGAGCUGACUACUGCUUUGAGUGUAUUGGACUGGCCUCCUGAAUGCAAGAGGCUUUUAAUAGUUCUCGCAAGCAUUACAUCAGCCAAACUCUCUCUGUAUCAAAUUUCACGUCUCUUUUCUCCGAUGAACUUUCCCGCAAAACCAGUCAACGCAUCAAGCCUACACCGGCGUUCCAGUUUCUGGUAAGUGACACUGAUUUUCAGAGAGUAUUUCAGCUCUCUUCUCUUGUCUUUACGACCCUUCUUCAGGAGGCGACAUCAAGAUUCCACAUUUUAUGGCGACCAGCAUAUUCUCCGGCGACCAAUUAUAGGGACACGACACAACAGUAUGGUAAAGAAAGCGACAGAAAAUUUCGGCAACCAAUUUGCCGAAAUUCAACAAAACGAUCAAGAGAACGUCCAUCACUACGAGUAUAA